rnacentral:rRNA from 1 species
GACGAACGCUGGCGGCGUGCUUAACACAUGCAAGUCGAACGCUGAAGCUCAGCUUUUGUUGGGUGGAUGAGUGGCGAACGGGUGAGUAACACGUGAGUAACCUGCCCCCUUCUUGGGGAUAACGCCCGGAAACGGGUGCUAAUACUGGAUAUUCACUGGUCUUCGCAUGGGGGUUGGUGGAAAGGGUUUUUCUGGUGGGGGAUGGGCUCGCGGCCUAUCAGCUUGUUGGUGGGGUGAUGGCCUACCAAGGCUUUGACGGGUAGCCGGCCUGAGAGGGUGACCGGUCACAUUGGGACUGAGAUACGGCCCAGACUCCUACGGGAGGCAGCAGUGGGGAAUAUUGCACAAUGGGCGCAAGCCUGAUGCAGCGACGCCGCGUGAGGGAUGGAGGCCUUCGGGUCGUGAACCUCUUUCGCUCAUGGUCAAGCCGCAACAAUGGUUGUGGUGAGGGUAGUGGGUAAAGAAGCGCCGGCUAACUACGUG